AAAAAAUUAACCAUUUGCUCGCACUUAAAUACAAUUUGGAUCUAAUAUCAGUAAAAAAAAAAAAAAAAGAAACGUGUAAACGUUCGUUCCCCAGACUUUAACAGAAACAUACAUCCAAACAUCCAAACAAGAGACCUGGCAACCAUCAGUCCAGCAGGUACCCCCAUUCAUGACCGACGUCCCGGAAGAGCAAACAGGCACCAGCCAAGGGAUGGACAGCCAGGUCCGUGUACACACCUGAGACUCGAGGUCCUACUCUACCUAGGUUAAGUACCAGUGGCCGGGUCGGAAGAACAAACCAGAGUAGGGAGGGCCGAGAUCGGAGUGUACGUGGUGAAUGACCAGGGACAGAGAGAGUGUGGAGAUCUAGUGCUGUUUGUUCUUCCAUCGCAGGAUAAUAAUCUUGCAUCGUUGUGCUAGGAGAGGGGGUGACUGAGCCUUAAGGGAGCUAUAUACAAGCCAUACACCGGGACAAACCAAUAGAUUAGGAGCCUCUUGGAUCGGUCACUUUCAACUUUACUUUUCCUUGUUGGCAUUUCUUCCGGGACAGUGUUUGGCAACUUGGAUUAAGUACAGGACCUGCAAACUGAGUUUUCUAGACCUUUUGAGGCCCAGGUGAAUGUACUGGAACUAUCAUUUCACCAAACUGCUGCUUACAUUGUUCGGGACUGUGUUGUGAUAAUAUAUUGUGUGAAGUUGAAUAAUUGUAAUACUAAUAGCCCCCUGAAGUCACAAGUAGCCUGUUAAAAUAGUUUGUGGAAUGUUUUAGUGGUUUUACUUAGUGCACAGUUUUAGGUGUUUAUUUUUUUUAGAAUAGGUUUUGUAUGGAGAUAAUGUGCAAGGCAGUUGAAAGGGGGGAGUUUGCAAACUGUCUGAUAAAAUAAGUUGUAUUUGAUUGUCUAAAUUUCCUGUAAUAAAUAAAUCAUUAUUUUACUUA